rnacentral:rRNA from 1 species
AUUCAUUGGGUUUAAAGGGUGCGCAGGCGGGAUGGGUAAGUCAGGGGUGAAAUCCCACAGCUCAACUGUGGAACUGCCUUUGAUACUGUCAGUCUAGAGUAUAGUUGAAGUUGGCGGAAUGUGUCAUGUAGCGGUGAAAUGCUUAGAUAUGACACAGAACACCGAUCGCGAAGGCAGCUAGCUAAGCUAUAACUGACGCUCAUGCACGAAAGCGUGGGGAUCAAACAGGAUUAGAUACCCUGGUAGUCCACGCUGUAAACGAUGAUUACUCGAUGUUGGCGAUACACAGUCAGCGUCUGAGCGAAAGCAAUAAGUAAUCCACCUGGGGAGUACGAUCGCAAGAUUGAAACUCAAAGGAAUUGACGGGGGCCCGCACAAGCGGAGGAGCAUGUGGUUUAAUUCGAUGAUACGCGAGGAACCUUACCUGGGCUCGAACGUAAGAUGACUGUAGGUGAAAGCUUACAUCUCUUCGGAGCAUUUUACGAGGUGCUGCAUGGUUGUCGUCAGCUCGUGCCGUGAGGUGUCGGGUUAAGUCCCAUAACGAGCGCAACCCCUACCUUUAGUUGCCAUCAGGUCAUGCUGGGGACUCUAAAGGAACUGCCUACGCAAGUAGUGAGGAAGGCGGGGAUGACGUCAAAUCAGCACGGCCCUUACGUCCAGGGCUACACACGUGCUACAAUGGCCGAUACAGAGGGCAGCUACCUGGUGACAGGAUGCAAAUCUCCAAAGUCGGUCUCAGUUCGGAUCGGAGUCUGCAACCCGACUCCGUGAAGUUGGAUUCGCUAGUAAUCGCGCAUCAGCCAUGGCGCGGUGAAUACGUUCCCGGGCCUUGUACACACCGCCCGUCAAGCCAUGGAAGCUGGGGGGACCUAAAGUCGAUAACCGCAAGGAGUCGCCUAGGGUAAAACCAGUGACUGGGGCUAAGUCGUAACAAGGUAGCCG